AACGAACGCUGGCGGCAGGCUUAACACAUGCAAGUCGAACGGUUGUAGCAAUACAGCAGUGGCAGACGGGUGAGUAACACGUGGGAACCUUCCUAGGGGUACGGAACAACUCAGGGAAACUUGAGCUAAUACCGUAUACGUCCGUGAGGAGAAAGAUUUAUCGCCCUUAGACGGGCCCGCGUCGGAUUAGCUAGUUGGUGGGGUAACGGCCUACCAAGGCGACGAUCCGUAGCUGAUCUUAGAGGAUGAUCAGCCACACUGGGACUGAGACACGGCCCAGACUCCUACGGGAGGCAGCAGUGGGGAAUCUUGGACAAUGGGCGCAAGCCUGAUCCAGCCAUGCCGCGUGAGUGAAGAAGGUCUUCGGAUUGUAAAGACUCUUUUUACCUAGGGACGGAUAAU
rnacentral:rRNA from 1 species